rnacentral:rRNA from 1 species
UGAACGCUAGCUACAGGCUUAACACAUGCAAGUCGAGGGGCAGCAUGGUCUUAGCUUGCUAAGGCCGAUGGCGACCGGCGCACGGGUGAGUAACACGUAUCCAACCUGCCGUCUACUCUUGGACAGCCUUCUGAAAGGAAGAUUAAUACAAGAUGGCAUCAUGAGUCCACAUGUUCACAUGAUUAAAGGUAUUCCGGUAGACGAUGGGGAUGCGUUCCAUUAGAUAGUAGGCGGGGUAACGGCCCACCUAGUCUUCGAUGGAUAGGGGUUCUGAGAGGAAGGUCCCCCACAUUGGAACUGAGACACGGUCCAAACUCCUACGGGAGGCAGCAGUGAGGAAUAUUGGUCAAUGGGCGAGAGCCUGAACCAGCCAAGUAGCGUGAAGGAUGACUGCCCUAUGGGUUGUAAACUUCUUUUAUAAAGGAAUAAAGUCGGGUAUGGAUACCCGUUUGCAUGUACUUUAUGAAUAAGGAUCGGCUAACUCCGUGCCAGCAGCCGCGGUAAUACGGAGGAUCCGAGCGUUAUCCGGAUUUAUUGGGUUUAAAGGGAGCGUAGAUGGAUGUUUAAGUCAGUUGUGAAAGUUUGCGGCUCAACCGUAAAAUUGCAGUUGAUACUGGAUAUCUUGAGUGCAGUUGAGGCAGGCGGAAUUCGUGGUGUAGCGGUGAAAUGCUUAGAUAUCACGAAGAACUCCGAUUGCGAAGGCAGCCUGCUAAGCUGCAACUGACAUUGAGGCUCGAAAGUGUGGGUAUCAAACAGGAUUAGAUACCCUGGUAGUCCACACGGUAAACGAUGAAUACUCGCUGUUUGCGAUAUACAGCAAGCGGCCAAGCGAAAGCGUUAAGUAUUCCACCUGGGGAGUACGCCGGCAACGGUGAAACUCAAAGGAAUUGACGGGGGCCCGCACAAGCGGAGGAACAUGUGGUUUAAUUCGAUGAUACGCGAGGAACCUUACCCGGGCUUAAAUUGCAGAUGAAUUACGGUGAAAGCCGUAAGCCGCAAGGCAUCUGUGAAGGUGCUGCAUGGUUGUCGUCAGCUCGUGCCGUGAGGUGUCGGCUUAAGUGCCAUAACGAGCGCAACCCUUGUUGUCAGUUACUAACAGGUUCCGCUGAGGACUCUGACAAGACUGCCAUCGUAAGAUGUGAGGAAGGUGGGGAUGACGUCAAAUCAGCACGGCCCUUACGUCCGGGGCUACACACGUGUUACAAUGGGGGGUACAGAGGGCCGCUACCACGCGAGUGGAUGCCAAUCCCAAAAACCUCUCUCAGUUCGGACUGGAGUCUGCAACCCGACUCCACGAAGCUGGAUUCGCUAGUAAUCGCGCAUCAGCCACGGCGCGGUGAAUACGUUCCCGGGCCUUGUACACACCGCCCGUCAAGCCAUGGGAGCCGGGGGUACCUGAAGUGCGUAACCGCGAGGAGCGCCCUAGGGUAAAACUGGUGACUGGGGCUAA